rnacentral:lncRNA from 10 species
GCCUGAUCAAGGCUCACCACAGCCUCAACCUUCUUGGCUCAAGUGAUCAUCUCACCUCAGCCUCCAGAGUAGCUGAAGUACAGGUACAUGCCACUACACUCAGCUAAUUUUUGUGGUUUUUUUCUUUUUUUGUAGAGACAGGGUCUCACUAUAUUGCCCAGGCUGGUCUUGAACUCCUGGGCUCAAGUGAUCCUCCCGCCUCAGCCUCCCAAAGUGCUAGGAUUCCAUAUGUGAGCCACUACCCCUAGCCAGGUUAAUUUAUUUUUGAAGAAAGAAUAAUAUUUUUAUAAACUGAGUAUAUCCUUAGUUCAGUAUUUGUGAAGGCUAUGGCAGUCUACAGUGGUGUACAGUAAUGUCUUAGACCUUCACAUUCACUCCCCACUCACUCACUGACUCAUCCAGAGCAACUUCUACUCCUGCAAGCUCCAUUCAUGCUAUGAGUUCCUUAACAGCAGGUUUGUCAGGAGUUCCUAAGACUAUCCCCAGGUUCAGUGAUUCACUUGAAGGACUCACAGGACUCACCAUUGAGUUGCAGCACAGGGAAAAGACACACGGAGAGAAGUUUGGAAGAAACCAGCUCAAAGAGUCCCAGGUGUGCUGGUGCCUAACCCUGGCUGCCAAUCAGAAUUACCUAGGGGCACGUUCGAGAACUUCCCAGGGGAUGUCUAACUUCUAGCAUAACAGAGUGAGAAGGCUCACAAAUCCUCUUCCCACAAAGCAACUAUAAAGCUGGUCAAGAGUCAAAAACAACCUAGUUGGUGCUCUGGAAAGCAAGCAAGACAUUCAACAAACUGAGAAGUGUUUAUUCAUGAAACCCACUGGACUCCAGGUGAGAACAGCACAAGUCUGUGACUUUUCCUGCCAAGAGCUGCCCUCAUCUGCCCUGCCCUCAGCUCUGUCAAUUCAGAAGUUUAACAGGCGUGGGGCAGGCCUUGAAAACUAGCAAACUCACUGCCACUGCUGGCAGGGACUCAUUGGAUUUGCAGUGUUGUCAGUGAGAGCAGCAAGCCCAGAGGCAGGCAAGCAGCACGGAGGGCCAGAGGCCUGCUGCCAUGAGGCUGCUGUUCUAUCUGGGACAAGCAAUGGACUGGCACACCAGCUGGAGACUUAAUAGGGAGGCCUUGAAAAUGAGAUGGCUGUAGGGGGCUUAUAAAGCUCUUCACACAUCCCAGGUGGACUGGAGGCUCUGAGCAUGCACAGCAGACAGCAGUGCAGGCCCACACCACCCAUGCACACCUGGUCAUUAGAGCCCAUGCAUGCACACACACAGAGGAGCUGUAAAAGGAGACCAGGGCAAAGUACAGCUGGGGCGCACUCGCAAACAGCUUGCAGUACCGUGUGCUCCACAGUCCAACAGGUCCUGAGCAGAGAAGGGAGCCCUACCGGCUCGAGGUGUUUGACUACAAGCACUGACCAAUCUUUACUGAACACUAUGCUAUGCAGACACAGGGGCAACCUCUCUAGGAAACCAGGCUUAAAAAUAAGAACUAAUCAAAACGGAAGUACAGAGACAUCCAGAGUCAGAUACAGCCGGAGAGACAGACUUGAGAUUUAGUCCAGUCCAGUUACUUAAACAAAUAGCAAAUAAAACAAUCACCAUCCACUUGAGUUAAAAUGUAAAGAAUCCAGAACUGCAUCAAUAUAUUACCUAAAAUAUAUGGUGGUCAACAAAAAUUCACAAGACAGCAAAGGAAAAAGAAACCAGGACUCAUACUCGGGGGAAAAAUAAAAUUCUGGCAGUCAGUGGAAGUGGUCUCUGAGUAUUCCCAGAUGCUGGGUUUAGCAGAUGAAGACUUCGAAACAGUUACUAUAAAUAAGUUAAAAGAACUAAUGAAGCCAAGUUUAAAGAACUAAAGGACCAUGUGAGGAAACUGACUCAAUGAAUAGAGAAAACGAAGAGACAGGAAAUAUAAAACAAAAUGGAAUUUAGUUGUUAGAGCAACUAAAAUUAAAAUUCACUAGAGAGGCUCAGCAGCAGAUUUCAGAUGGCAGAAGAACAGAAGAAUCAGUGAACUUGAUGUUAGAUUAAUAGAAAUUAUCGAGUCUGAAGAACAGAGAGAAAAAAGAUUGAGGAAAACUGAACAAACUGAACAGACUGAACAGAGAGGCCCCAGAGUAUAGGAUACCCCCAAGCGUUCACAGAAGGAAAUAGAGAAAAAGUAGUAGAAAAAAAUAUAUGAAAAAGUAAUGACUUUCUACAAACUAGGAACAGAGGGGAACUUCCUCAACUGGAUAAAGAACACCUCCUUAAAGGCAGAGGAAUCUCUGAAAAAUGUCAAUCAGACUGUGGUACACCCUCGGCAUAAAGCUUC